CAGUCGCCACGGGAAAACGGAGGGUGCAAGCGUUAUCCGGAUUUAUUGGGUUUAAAGGGUCCGUAGGCGGACUUAUAAGUCAGUGGUGAAAGCCUGUCGCUUAACGAUAGAACUGCCAUUGAUACUGUAAGUCUUGAGUAUAUUUGAGGUAGCUGGAAUAAGUAGUGUAGCGGUGAAAUGCAUAGAUAUUACUUAGAACACCAAUUGCGAAGGCAGGUUACCAAGAUAUAACUGACGCUGAGGGACGAAAGCGUGGGUAGCGAACAGGAUUAGAUACCCGCGUAGUCCCUGUCUCUUAUAA
rnacentral:rRNA from 1 species